AGCAUGGAUUUUGUCAGCCAGAAGGCCGCAUCCAGUCCUGACUGCCUUGGGGACACAAUGUAACCUGCUCGGCAGCUGGACCAUGUCCUUGUACAGAUUUAUGAAUUGACAUAGUGCCUCCCUGAGCAACAGGUGAAAAGGCUCCCCCUGGCUUCCCAUUCCAGCCAAGCCUCUGUGGUCUCCUGGGCUGCAGCUUGGAGAACAGGCUUGUGGGACACAGAAGGGCCUGGCUCCUGAUGCAGAGGGAAGCCGGGCCUGCGAACGGGGCAGGCAGCAGAGACCCUAAGUCAAACAGCAGCUGGCACCCAGAAUGAGGGGAAAGGUAACACGCAACGUGGCGAACUGAUGAGCCUGGGGGCCACGCCUAGGAAGUUUCAUGAAUUGUGACUUGCACUGAGCUGUCCCUCUGCUAAUGAACAGAAGCAUUAGUGGGACGGAGGGACAGGCCCCAGGGACAGCAGGAGGAGGAUCUGAUGUCCACUGUUGAGGGGGAAAAACAGCAUUUUUAAAACAAAGGUGGAGUAUAAGCUAGGAGGGAAAAGAAAACCAACUAGCAUUAUCCACUGUGUGGUGUUUCCAGAUGUCAAACCUCAUUUUAGUUUCAGAGCCCCGAGGGGGGCGUUAAAAGCCCUUCAUUCCGCAUCAUCUGCUUUCUCAGGAACUAAGCCUUGGAGACCGUAAGUGGCCGGUCAAGGUCACCAACCAGGAAGGGGUGGAGUCUGGACCGGACCCAGACCGUGCAGAGAAGGGAGGCGUCCAGCCACCAUGGGACAGUCCCCCAGCGCUUGCCUGGCUCUCAGGCACAUGAACCCAGGUCUAGAGACCACUUGAGGGGCCCCACGGGCAUCCGCAGACGGUACUCACCACUCCUCCGUGAUCCGCGUCUUCAGCUCCGGCAGCAGGAACUGCCCGUGGAAGCGGUGGAUGGAAGAGAUGUUAGAGAAUAUGCCCGUGAUGACUUCUGGAGGGAUCCCCGCAUCCGUCAGCCUGGUGCAGAAAACCUGAGCAUAGAGAAGCCCACGUGUGGCCAGUGAGCCUCUUCCGCUGAGCACAGCUGCGUCCCGCUUCGGCCACAGGUUGCUUCUGGCUAAUUCUUCACAGCACAGAGCCUGGCUCACUGGCUUGGCGUGUGUUCCCCUACAUCACCCACAACAUCAGACCCCUGUUCUUCCUCAGGGUGGGGCAGAGGAGACUCCGGGUCCCAAAGAUCCUGUGUGGUGCCUUGACCUGAGGACCAGCCGGAGUGUGACAGACUGCCCUCUGUCAAGGCAUCCCACAAGGGAGGAGACAAACUCGUUCCCAUCAGUGACAGAAGCACCGGAGCAAGCGCUGGAAACUUCCUAUUGCAGACACCAGGAACUGGGCCUUCCCCGCACAAGCCUGGCCCUGUGCACACCCCAGAACCUGAGGGGCUGGGCCUGGGGUCUGCACUGUCCCCGGCACUCAGGAGACUGGACAGCCUGCUUGGGACACCCCUGGAGCUGUGGGUGGCGUGGCCAGGACUCACCAGGCCUUCUGUUGUCUGUGUUCUGAUGUGCUGACAUCUGGACCUUUCUGACCCUAGAGGGACUGCCCCUCCCAGGGUAGCCAAUUCUAGAGAGAGUAAAGGCCCAGGCUUGCCCUGCAAACUCGCCUUUCCAAUGCCCACCAACCCCCACAGAGCCCACACCCACCCCCCUUCUAUGGGGCCCUCACACUCCAGGCCAUAUGCCCCUGCCCUCCUCACCCCAGGGUGGGUACCAGACAGCCAGGGACAGCCCCUGUGCCCCAGAACCCAGUGAAAUCAUUCACACCAAGCAAUCCUCAGCCCACUUACCCUGCCUUGCCCGUUCCUUCCUGCGGAAACCAUAUUACCGUCUCAGGCCCACAGUUUCCCCUUGAACCCUCUGCCUCCUGACUGACCCUGGGCUUCCCUGUGGCCCCACGGUGUGGUGUGAUGUGCCCCUUUCUCUUGGAAACCGAGGAUGACAAACCAUCUUGUCAAUGGCAGUGGUCUCCUGAUCCUUCCUACACCUGAGUGAUAAUAAAGCCUCCAUUGAACACA